rnacentral:rRNA from 1 species
CCUACGGGUGGCAGCAGUGAGGAAUAUUGGUCAAUGGGAGGAAUCCUGAACCAGCCAUGCCGCGUGCAGGACGACGGCUCUACGAGUUGUAAACUGCUUUUGUACCGGGGUAAAAUGCUCUACGAGUAGGGUUUUGAAAGUACGGUACGAAUAAGGAUCGGCUAACUCCGUGCCAGCAGCCGCGGUAAUACGUAGGUGGCAAGCGUUGUCCGGAUUUACUGGGUGUAAAGGGCGUGUAGCCGGGUUGACAAGUCAGAUGGGAAAUCCUGCGGCUUAACCGCAGAACUGCAUUUGAAACUGUUGAUCUUGAGUACUGGAGAGGCAGAUGGAAUUCCUAGUGUAGCGGUGAAAUGCGUAGAUAUUAGGAGGAACACCAGUGGCGAAGGCGGUCUGCUGGACAGCAACUGACGGUGAGGCGCGAAAGCGUGGGGAGCAAACAGGAUUAGAUACCCCUGUAGUC